rnacentral:rRNA from 1 species
GGGAACUGAAACAUCUCAGUACCUGGAGGAAAGGACAUCAACAGAGACUCCGGUAGUAGUGGCGAGCGAACCCGGACCAGGCCAGUGGCCCAGUUUGACGAAGCCGAACAGGUUGGAAAACCUGGCAUUAUGGGUGAUAGCCCCGUAGGCGUUUAGAACGACUGGGUCCUCGAGUAAGGCGGGACACGAGAAAUCCUGUCUGAACAUGGGGGGACCACCCUCCAAGCCUAAGUAC